GCAGAUCAACUCGGUAGACUCCUUUUGUAUUGGCCAGAGCACGAGCAAGUUCCACCACAUAUUUCACCUAAAUUAAUAGCUACCAUAUAAUCUCUUCCGAGUUCCAUGUUUUCUCCACGAAUCAACCCAUGAAUGCUACAACAAGCUCUGAAAGGUCAUCAUCUGCAUCGUGACGCCCUUGUUCUCGCUCCAGACGUCGUUUUGCAAGUCUUCGUGCAUCAUCCCAUGCUAUCUGCAGCAGUCCAAAUUAAACAACUUUCAUUUCUGUGUCUCCAAUUAAUUUCAACUUACAUUUCCUAAUUAAUUUUAUGCACAUUAUAUAUAGUUUAAAUGGAAUGAGAUUCCUUUUCUUUC